GGGCGUUAAGUUGCAGGGUAUAGACCCGAAACCCGGUGAUCUAGCCAUGGGCAGGUUGAAGGUUGGGUAACACUAACUGGAGGACCGAACCGACUAAUGUUGAAAAAUUAGCGGAUGACUUGUGGCUGGGGGUGAAAGGCCAAUCAAACCGGGAGAUAGCUGGUUCUCCCCGAAAGCUAUUUAGGUAGCGCCUCGUGAAUUCAUCUCCGGGGGUAGAGCACUGUUUCGGCAAGGGGGUCAUCCCGACUUACCAACCCGAUGCAAACUGCGAAUACCGGAGAAUGUUAUCACGGGAGACACACGGCGGGUGCUAACGUCCGUCGUGAAGAGGGAAACAACCCAGACCGCCAGCUAAGGUCCCAAAGUCAUGGUUAAGUGGGAAACGAUGUGGGAAGGCCCAGACAGCCAGGAUGUUGGCUUAGAAGCAGCCAUCAUUUAAAGAAAGCGUAAUAGCUCACUGGUCGAGUCGGCCUGCGCGGAAGAUGUAACGGGGCUAAACCAUGCACCGAAGCUGCGGCAGCGACGCUUAUGCGUUGUUGGGUAGGGGAGCGUUCUGUAAGCCUGCGAAGGUGUGCUGUGAGGCAUGCUGGAGGUAUCAGAAGUGCGAAUGCUGACAUAAGUAACGAUAAAGCGGGUGAAAAGCCCGCUCGCCGGAAGACCAAGGGUUCCUGUCCAACGUUAAUCGGGGCAGGGUGAGUCGACCCCUAAGGCGAGGCCGAAAGGCGUAGUCGAUGGGAAACAGGUUAAUAUUCCUGUACUUGGUGUUACUGCGAAGGGGGGACGGAGAAGGCUAUGUUGGCCGGGCGACGGUUGUCCCGGUUUAAGCGUGUAGGCUGGUUUUCCAGGCAAAUCCGGAAAAUCAAGGCUGAGGCGUGAUGACGAGGCACUACGGUGCUGAAGCAACAAAUGCCCUGCUUCCAGGAAAAGCCUCUAAGCAUCAGGUAACAUCAAAUCGUACCCCAAACCGACACAGGUGGUCAGGUAGAGAAUACCAAGGCGCUUGAGAGAACUCGGGUGAAGGAACUAGGCAAAAUGGUGCCGUAACUUCGGGAGAAGGCACGCUGAUAUGUAGGUGAAGUCCCUCGCGGAUGGAGCUGAAAUCAGUCGAAGAUACCAGCUGGCUGCAACUGUUUAUUAAAAACACAGCACUGUGCAAACACGAAAGUGGACGUAUACGGUGUGACGCCUGCCCGGUGCCGGAAGGUUAAUUGAUGGGGUUAGCGCAAGCGAAGCUCUUGAUCGAAGCCCCGGUAAACGGCGGCCGUAACUAUAACGGUCCUAAGGUAGCGAAAUUCCUUGUCGGGUAAGUUCCGACCUGCACGAAUGGCGUAAUGAUGGCCAGGCUGUCUCCACCCGAGACUCAGUGAAAUUGAACUCGCUGUGAAGAUGCAGUGUACCCGCGGCAAGACGGAAAGACCCCGUGAACCUUUACUAUAGCUUGACACUGAACAUUGAGCCUUGAUGUGUAGGAUAGGUGGGAGGCUUUGAAGUGUGGACGCCAGUCUGCAUGGAGCCGACCUUGAAAUACCACCCUUUAAUGUUUGAUGUUCUAACGUGGACCCGUAAUCCGGGUUGCGGACAGUGUCUGGUGGGUAGUUUGACUGGGGCGGUCUCCUCCUAAAGAGUAACGGAGGAGCACGAAGGUUGGCUAAUCCUGGUCGGACAUCAGGAGGUUAGUGCAAUGGCAUAAGCCAGCUUGACUGCGAGCGUGACGGCGCGAGCAGGUGCGAAAGCAGGUCAUAGUGAUCCGGUGGUUCUGAAUGGAAGGGCCAUCGCUCAACGGAUAAAAGGUACUCCGGGGAUAACAGGCUGAUACCGCCCAAGAGUUCAUAUCGACGGCGGUGUUUGGCACCUCGAUGUCGGCUCAUCACAUCCUGGGGCUGAAGUAGGUCCCAAGGGUAUGGCUGUUCGCCAUUUAAAGUGGUACGCGAGCUGGGUUUAGAACGUCGUGAGACAGUUCGGUCCCUAUCUGCCGUGGGCGCUGGAGAACUGAGGGGGGCUGCUCCUAGUACGAGAGGACCGGAGUGGACGCAUCACUGGUGUU
rnacentral:rRNA from 1 species